AUUCGCACGUUCUGGCUCGUAUCGGCGAUACGAGCAUGGUCCGUUUUCGCGAUACGGUAUCGCGAAAACGGACCAUGCACGGACCCCCCGUACAUUAUUUCAGAUUCUUUGUGUUCACAACUUUUCGCGUAUUUUCAGCUAUCAAACUUGCCCAUCGUUGGAAGCCGUAAAAACACUCUCAUUGUAUAUGUAUAUAUAUCUACUUAUCUAAAAUGUGCACUCGAUCAGUUAAGUACCUAUUUCGUUACAUUUGCUGAAUCUUAAGCAAAAAAGCUCUUUUCAGGUCAAAGGUUUCCUCGCAUCUCACUUUUCUUCGGAUUGGAGCUGCCAAGCAGAUAUUUAACCUGUAACUUACCCUAUCUCUUUUUUCGGAUGCCGGUGAUUUUUACAUCCAUACUUACAUAUGUUCGUUUACCGAGUCAAGAGUAAAGGGUGACGGGCAUGAAUAAAAGAAAUUACCGAAGGCUAAUUAUCAUUUCAUCUCUAAUUGCCUGAUCUCUGAUUGCAAUAAAAAAUUGCCUUGCAAGUUUGCACCGUUUUUGAGAUGACACGUGUUCAAACAUGACUGUACCCCCAUUGAGCAGGAUUACCUUGGUACACGUUUCAUUCAUUCAUACAGAUAAUUGCCAACAGGUUGUUGUUUUUUAAGACUAUAAAUUAUACGAAGUUUUAAAAAUGUGAUCCCAUUAUUGAUUUCGUUGCAGUAAAUAUUGCCGAUUUUAGAUACAAGGCGACAAGUGAGGAUUAAUUUCGCUAAAAUUUGACAUACGAAAACUUCAGCUUUCGUUUUUGUAAAGACAUAUUGUUGUUGUGGUGGUUUAAUAUUGCGUCUUAUAUAAUUGUUACCAGUGGAAAUUGCCAACGUUUUCCUAAUGCAUUUGCAUACAUUGCUGAUAUUGAAACAGGGAUACCAAAAUCUACACACAUAUGUACAUGGUUUACACGUGCAGAAAUUAAACACCGGAGAAGGACGCCUAUCCCAACUUUCAUAUAGAUCAACUUAAGAACCAAUUAAAAGUUAUAUGUCUGCAUGGCAUGGAUUAUCUUUCUCGGAUGCAUAUUUUCACUCGAAUUCAGCCCAUCCACGAAGCUCAGCAAAUUUUCAAAUCCUACCCAAAUUAUCACCCAGGACAUUUCUGAGAGGCAUCCCCAGAAAUACAAUCCUGUCAAAACUGUCAAAAAUGGAUACGACGAAAAGCGUGAUCUUGUUCCUGUUAAUUAGUUAAGCUACAUAUUUUCCAAUAAUAAUCCUUCGCAAUAAUGUGUGCCCAUGCACAUGUAAAUGCAGCCAUUAGGCCCAAAUAUUCGUAGAAUUAUGGACUACAUAUUAUACCAUAGCUAACCCUACUCAAUGUUCGACACACUAUUAAAAACAAUGUUGCUAUCUGGAUAAGUAAAUUCACGCAGAAUUUUAUAUUUAUGUAGAAAACUAUACUAAAUCUAACGUUACGCUGGCUUAAUCAAGCGUCAAGUUACUCUUGAGAUGCCUAUUUUAACUUCAGAGUGCAUUUAUUUCUCGAAAGGGUAACAUUCUUUUUAAGUGUGUGGUAAAAAAAAUGCCAUGAGCGAUAUUCUUCACAAAUGAAGAUUCCGCUUCUUAACAUACGUCCAAUAAUUGGAUCAUGAUCCUAAAAUUCUAUAUGUUCCCACGACUUAUUGCAUAAUUGUUGAAAUUGUUGAAUUUGGCAGAACAAAAUUAAUAAUAAUUUGUAACAAAACGGUACGCAAAGGCAUAUGUAUUUAAAACUAGACUUCAAAUCUGUUAAGACACCUCAAAAUAUUGUAGCUUAAAAUUAGAAAUUGAAAUAAUUCGACUUGCAACGGUUUCUAGUAGUUCGCUUAGGUUUAAGACUUCUGCACAUCUAAUUAUCUACAAUAAUUAACAUAAAUAUAUUUAAAAUAUAAGUGAAAUGUUGCCAAGAACCCUUAAUGAACUUAUUAAGUCAACUAUUGGUAUAAAGGUUGGAUACUUUACAUGAGACAUACAUGACAUGACAUGUACAAAACAUUUACUUAUACAUACAUAAAUGAGUGACCCGUAAGCUUAAUGCGUUGAAUAAGGUCAAGGGAAUGAUAAAAUCAUGGAUAUGAUUUCAUGUGCAGAUUAAACAGAUAAAUAGGUAACCUAUUAUCUGGAAGAAGGAAAUCUAAACGAUUAAAAAUUAAAAACUGUCCAAUUAAUUUAAAUCUAAGAACUGUCCAACUUAAGAUGUUGCUCAUAUGUUGCAUUGUAGCCGGACUUAUGAGAAUUCGGAGUAUGAAUAAUAACUGAAUCACGUUAGUGAAAUUUGGAGGAAAACGACAAAGGAAAUGUAGAUUUAUUUCAAACAAAAUAGAGACUGACUUCAAGAAAAUUCAAGUUAGGUUAGGUUACUGGGCCUGGUUUACCAGUGAAUAUAUCCUUUUCAAUUAGAAGGUCUACAUACACAAGAGUAGGAGUUGAACUAAACAGAUUAUAUGUAUUAGCCGAGGCUACUUAGGUGACAUUCGCUUACGAUCGCCUAGUUAUCGACUGCAAGCUCGUUCAGUUUUCUGGAACUCGCGCAGCAAGAGCAAGAUCAGCGCGAUUCAAUCGUUCACGGAAAAUGGGACAAUUGCGAGCGAAAUGUCCAAAUUCUAAACACUCAAAAACAAGGACCAUUUCGGUCUUCUCGACGAAAAGUCCGAGCUUUAUCGAUGUUGAGGGCUCUCGUAUUCUCCCAAAUCGUUCGGUUUACGGGCUUACUAACAUAUCGGGUCGGGAGGGUCGGGGUCUGGGUAUCUCAAAUUAUUCGGUCGUGUAUAGCAUCGACAUUAAGGUUACCCUAUUUCUGAAAAAUAAGCAGUUAUGCAAACUAACCUGGGGUAUGCGGUAGGUCUGCACCAUAUAUGAAUAUCACUUUGGAUACCACUACAUUUAAUUCUGUUGAGGUCCUAACAAUGAGUAGCAUAUUGUCUAAUGUCCUGAAAGUCUAUGCCCGGGGUGCUUCCUCCUCUGUGAUGCAACUUAAAGGAUCAUAACUUUUGCUGCCGUGAAAAGAUAAUGCUGCCCUUCUCAAGAAAUUUUCUAUCAUUUCAUCAUCCCUCGGUUGUAAAUUUCUAAAUUGUUGGCGGAUUCAUUCUCGUCAGGAUUCAUUGCCACCGUUUUGCUUUUUCUUGAAACGCACUGCACAAAUGUGUAUCCUUUGCUUCAGUCACUGGUCAUCGAGAUUGAUAGUAUACCAAUUAUCACGUGAAAAAGUUAAAGUCACUUUUAACGAGUGGAAACUGGUCAUUAAUUUUAAUUGCUCUGAAAAGGUAGCAAAAUUAAUCACUAAACUGUGGAUGCCCUAAUGCGUAGUGACGUAAUUGCCACAUAUAUGUAGCUGGCAACAAAGUAAGCACUCUGCAAACCACUGGUUUCUCGUCGAACCACAUUAAUUUUAGAAUAUCCAAAAAGAACUGGAGCUUAUCUUCAACAAAGUUAAUUUCACUCUGUCCGUAAUUUGGAGGUUGACUUACUAGAAUUUUGUAAAACCGACGAGCAUUUUCCUCCACAGGACGGUGAUGACAGAUGUGUGACAUAUUUCCUUUAACUUGCAGGUAAUUAAGGAGUGAAAACUGGGGACACUAUAGUUCAAGUCUGUUUCGCCUCAACACAAUCAUUAAUUUCCGACACUAUGUAAUUGUCGCUACCCUUGAUGAGAAUAAGCACCGGUGUCUCACAAUGCCCACUUAAAGUCCCUGGGCAGCUGCAUGUCUGCAGUAUCCACUUCGUCCCUGGACAAUAUUUUACUGCCCCCACCACAACUUGUUACAUCCCCCCACACUUGGCUUAAUACCUCAUAACUCAACCUCUGUAGUUUAGAAUUAUAAAUUAUCCCUCAGUGUGAGGAAGAGUAACCCCCUUGCUUCUAAUUGAUCGUGUGUUAGGGUUCUCUUGGAUUACCAGAAAGUGCCGAUGGGGCAGACAACGAAAGUAUUUCCUACGUAGGUUAAAGUUGUUUUCUAUUAUUUGAUCAAACAUUUGAUCAAACAUUCAAAUGUUGACAAUGACAAUAUUUUAUUAAAAAAUUAAAAUCAUGGAAAUUAAUUUUGGAAGUUGUACGUCAACCAGAGAGCCAUUCCAAUGUCUUAUAAUGGCGAAUAAUUUCUAAAUGAGAUUUAAACCAUGGGCGACAAAUGUAUGGUUUGAUAUGCGGAGACGAUGUCAAUUAAAGUUUUACUUAAAAGUAAACCUUUCCGUAAUAAAGAACGGAGAUACACAUAUCACACGGGAAGUUCUGUAAGUUUGGAAGGUCCAACACGAAUGUAAUGGGUUGAAUCUAAUUGGAUAAUGGCAGUAAUAUUAGUUAAACUUGUAUACAUAUUUAUUAAAUUUAAAUAUUUUUGCUGGAGCGAUAGUUUUGGAGAGUGUAAUAGAUACAUUGAGCCUCUUUUCCAAACAGUUGUGGAUAUUUAACUAAUUUUUUUGCAUCAUUAUGAUGACAUUUAGUUUUAAUUUUACUGGCUACAUAUUGAGCUCGAAACUUUUUCCGUAUUGUGGCUUUGAGCAUGCCACAUUGCAAAUUGCACAUUUAAAUACGUUUAGAUAUUUGCUCUUGAAAGGAUAAAGUUCCGUUUGUUUGAUAUGAAUGUGAUAGCAAAAUGUGUUCUCUUCCCUAAAUUUUUUAAUAAUAGUAAUCAUUAUGUUCUCGAUUAAAAUCUGUGCAAAGUUUGUCUUUUAAGUAUUUACUCUCUUUCCUCUAAUUAAUUGAUCUAAUUUGUACUCACAAUGGAGGUCUCCCAGCGUAUGCUCGUAGAUUUGGACGAAACUAGUGUCAAUCGAUCACAAAUAUAAUUAGUAUGAAAUUUGCAAAUGAAACUAGCUACCAAUGCGCAUGGUUUGCCAAGAUAUUUGCAUUUAGAAGAGAGGAAAACGCGCCCUAAGGCUGGCAAAUUUUGUAUUUUCCAAAUUUGCUGGGCAUUUUUCCCGCGUUGGAUGCAAAUAUCUUCGACAAACCUACCCAUUGGGAGAUAGUUCCAUUUGCAAAUUUCAUACUUAAUUUCAUACAUUUGUGAUCGAUUGACGCUAGUUUCGUCCAAAUCUACGAGCAUACGCUUGGAGACCACCAUUGUGAGUAUAAUUAAAUUAUUGUAAUAAUAUCAAUAAUAUUUGGUAGAAAAUUAAGUAAUAGUUUAAAACUUGUGACAUUCUUGAGCUUAAUAUUUUUUCCUACAUCCUUAUUUUGGAUUACUAAAAUUGAAAAAAUAUAACUCAUUACAGCCUACAUUAUACAUGGCUCAACUCAACCUUUUGUCUAUUUCUUUUUAAUUCUGGUUCACAACAAGGAACUUAUUUCACAUCAGAAUCAUUAUAAACUUAACACAAAUUCAUCUCGAACUGCUAGGCUAACCUUGUUUUUAUGAUAAUUUUAAACGCCAAUAUUCAACAAGAUAGACCUUUUAUUUGGAAUUAUUUUGAGGAAUGUUCGGGAAACAAAUGCUGCUCAAUUGCGACAAUCAGUUCCAAAUGAGAUUGCCUAUUAGUUCCCCUAGUCUUGCAAACCGGGGGCAUUACGAAAGACACUUUUUCGAAACUCGCUAAUUUUCAGAAGUUACAAUACAUGGUUGUCACAACAAUGACAAAGGUAUUGUCAAAAAAAAUCACCUAAAAAAAGUAUUGAAAACUUGAAAAUCAUUAGCGUGGUACGAGGACAAAAAUAUUUCAGGAUUGUUGUGGAAGAUUGUGGAAGAUAUUGUAAAUCAGUCUUGUUACAAAAUGGAUUUGUGAAGUAUGAAAAUAUAAUCCGAGAAGAUGAUAUUUAUAGUUUUUAAAGCAAACGUGUACUAAAAUAGGCACAACAAAUUUUUGUUUGUGUUUGGAAAAAUUGAUGGUUUAUUUAAAAAUAAAUGCACAAUACCAUAUUA